GAAGGGAUAGCUCAGUGGUAGAGCAUUCGACUGUUUAUCGAGUGCUCCCCGAUUCAAACCCAGGAGUUUUCUUCU